rnacentral:rRNA from 1 species
AAAAUGACUCUCGGCAACGGAUAUCUCGGCUCUCGCAUCGAUGAAGAACGCAGCGAAAUGCGAUACUUGGUGUGAAUUGCAGGAUCCCGCGAACCAUCGAGUCUUUGAACGCAAGUUGCGCCCGAAGCCUUAUGGCCGAGGGCACGUCUGCCUGGGUGUCACGC